rnacentral:rRNA from 1 species
CUCUGGGUCCACCUCCCACCCGUGUUUAUUUUACCUUGUUGCUUCGGCGGGCCCGCCUUAACUGGCCGCCGGGGGGCUUACGCCCCCGGGCCCGCGCCCGCCGAAGACACCCUCGAACUCUGUCUGAAGAUUGUAGUCUGAGUGAAAAUAUAAAUUAUUUAAAACUUUCAACAACGGAUCUCUUGGUUCCGGCAUCGAUGAAGAACGCAGCGAAAUGCGAUACGUAAUGUGAAUUGCAAAUUCAGUGAAUCAUCGAGUCUUUGAACGCACAUUGCGCCCCCUGGUAUUCCGGGGGGCAUGCCUGUCCGAGCGUCAUUUCUGCCCUCAAGCACGGCUUGUGUGUUGGGCCCCGUCCUCCGAUCCCGGGGGACGGGCCCGAAAGGCAGCGGCGGCACCGCGUCCGGUCCUCGAGCGUAUGGGGCUUUGUCACCCGCUCUGUAGGCCCGGCCGGCGCUUGCCGAUCAACCCAAAUUUUUAUCCAGGUUGACCUCGGAUCAGGUAGGGAUACCCGCUGAACUUAAGCAUAUCAAUAAGCGGAGGAA